AGCUUGUUGGCUGCGUCACCAUCGCUGCCUGGAUUGGUCACAGGAGGCCCUGGAGAAGGAGUGGCCUGAGGUCAAGCCCUAAAGCACCAGAGCCUGGUCAUGAUGGACCAUAAGAGAGCACUCACCAUUUCACUGGCCGUUGACAAGAUGGGAAGUCCACUAAAAAUUCCCAAGAUCCUUCUUUCUUCAGAGUUGAGAUGUGGGAAUGAAGAGUCACAGAUUCACUGGACCCAGAUUGCUGGAAAUGGAAUCAAACUCCAAAAGUCUUGUCAGCAGAAUGGAUCCAUCUCUUUGGAUCACGGCCAAGCGGCUUUAGCCCAAGCGGCAAUGAACUGCACGCAGCUCCAGUUGGUCCUCACGGACGUCCUGAAGACGGAACAGGGACAGGUCUACCUAGACAGGAAGAUGCGUGGCAAGAUGACAGGAACUGGAGAGAGGAAGAGAGAGUCACCGAUGGGGAGCGGGCAAAGGAGGGUGUCUCAGUGUAGCAGAGAGGGGAGGGAGGAUUGUAGAGAUUUUAUAGCACACACAAAGAGACCCCAUGACCACCCCACUCCCACCUCGACCCCGACCCGCAAGGAGAGGAGGUCACACCACAGAGGGGGGUCAGAGGAAGACGAGGAGGUGAAGGAACUUUUAAUAGGAGAGGAAAACAUCAAAGACCAGAGAUGCAACAGUAGUAUGUCAGGGAGGCAUAGUUCACAGGAACCCCUGGAGGAGGUGACCUUUACUGAGGGGGACAUGCACCAGGAAAAGACUUACCCACAAUCCACCAGGACUAGGAAGGCAGAUUCAGGUUCAAGCGAAUCCACACAUGUUGAGAGGGAGAGUUGGAGGAGGGAGUCUGGGCUCUACAGUAAUGGACAGGUGAAGGAUGGAGGGAUGAAUGAUGGAGUGGCAGAGGGCUUGACCACAGAUGCCUCCAGGAGCUCCAGAGGGAGCGUGCUGCGCCUCUCCAGGGAGGCCAGAGGCGGGGGAGGACUGCCCCCCAAACAGCUGUGUCUGGGGGGGACGGGGGGCAUAGACACUAAUGUAGCAUCCAUAGAAGUAGAGGUGGACCCCUCAAACUUUGAUGGGACCCCGAUGGUAGUCACUGUGGGGGAAGACAGGGAAGUUGCCAGCUCCUCUAACCCCAGCUGUGGAGGGGUUAAGGAGAGGAGAGGAACCCUGUCCUCCAGCCAGGAUAGGACGCCCAAACUCAGUCCUGUUGAACCCAUCGUUCUCUCCAGUGAUGAGGAGGUAGUCACCCCGUCCCACAGUUCAGUCCUCUGGCCUCAGACUAGUGAGUGUGAGUCCCAGAGAAACCAUGCUCAGGAAGACAACGUGGUGGAAGAGACAGACUUUCAGGUGAUGCCUGCGGUGGUGACAGGGUCUGGGGUGGCCAGUUUCCCCAGCACCGAGGACUCUGAGGGUAUGGCCCUACCCUUCUCUGCCCUGCACUGUGGGGGGGUCCGAGGGGAGUCCAGCGGAAACCUCAUGGUAAGGUUAUGCACACUGCUCCAACUGGAGAAUGGGUGCAGUACAUUCUAG
rnacentral:lncRNA from 1 species